UACGGGGGGAGCAAGCGUUGUUCGGAUUUACUGGGCGUAAAGGGCGCGUAGGCGGCCACCGCAAGUCGGUUGUGAAAUCUCCGGGCUUAACCCGGAAAGGUCAAUCGAUACUGCGGGGCUAGAGUGCAGAAGGGGCAACUGGAAUUCUCGGUGUAGCGGUGAAAUGCGUAGAUAUCGGGAGGAACACCAGUGGCGAAGGCGGCUCUCUGGGACGGUACUGACGCUGAGACGCGAAAGCGUGGGGAGCGAACAGG
rnacentral:rRNA from 1 species